UGCAGCCGCCGCACGCACCCACGCACGCCGAAGCCGAGCCCGGAUCGCUCUCGUGCCCUGGGUGAUUCUGUGUGCUCCAGGGACUCCAUACGUGAGCAAAGGACCCCAGGGAAACCCCGCACCCCCUGUCCCGAUCUUUCCCGUUGGCACACGCCCUGGUUGGGGCGAUUGGAUCUCGUCCCGGAGCUCUUUCGUCCGCCGCCGUUCGCCGGAGGUUUUCGCCACCAGACCUAGCGGGGAGAGAGGAACAAGCUCGACCACCGUUCAUCGGAGCACACCCGCCGUUCCUGUCACCGUUGCUGCCCGCAGAGGAUGCCCCGUCGCCGUCCGACCUCACCAUCGCCUCCGCCGCUCGAUGCCGCACCCACCCAUCACUUCCCCUUCACCGGAGACUCGCCGGAGAGCCGCCACCGCCGACGCCCAAGACUACCGCCGCCACCCUCUGCUUUUGAUUGUCCGGAGUGCAACGUGAGCUAUUGUCAGGAGUGUGACUUUCUGAACCAGAACCAAGGCAAGUUACAUGUUGAUCAUCCUUUACCUAUUGUUUUCUAUGCAUGUAGUUAUAUCACACUAUGAAUAUAUGCAUGUAUAGGAAUACUAUAUUAUUUUUGCUAUGCUGAUGAGCUAUCUUCCUGUCUUUGCAAAUCGUGGUAGUGGUAGGUUGCUAUGCUUUGUAGACGGGGGUGGUUCGUGUAUUCAUUGAGUUUAUGUGAGGAUUAUAUAUAUUUAACAAAUU